rfam:Gorilla gorilla gorilla genomic chromosome, chr3, whole genome shotgun sequence
GCUGGGCACAGUGGCGUGUGCCUGUAGUCCCAGCUACUCGGGAGGCUGAGGUGGGAGGAUCACUUGAGCCCAGGAAGUCAAGGCUGCAGUGAGCUGUGAUCACGCCACUGCACUCUAGCCUGGGUCACAGAGUGAGACCUUGUCUCAA